rnacentral:lncRNA from 1 species
AACACCUUGAUGAUUACAAUCAAACAACAUAAGCAUAUAUAACAAGAAGAGAUCAGAAGCCAUAUACCAAUAUGAAGAUGAUGAUUUGGUAAUCAUGAGAUGUCCAUAAGACUCCAAAGUAGAAGCUCUCCAAUGGUGAUCCACACGAGACUGAUCAGAGCCCUUCCCAAUUCGAUGUAGUGCUGUAGCCUUCUUCACAAAUUCACUACUUAUCGUCCUUCGCAAGAACGGGUUGCACCACUACUUAUCUACCUUCGAGACC